AAAAGUAUUUUGGUUUUAAAUAUAAAAGGAGUCAUAAGAUAUUAAUGUCUUUUAAAGAGAAGAGGAAAGUUGUAAUGUUUUGUAAUUUGAAUUAUUUCCCUAUAAGUUUGGUUUUGAGCAUAACCAAUGACCCGAUUACUGGUGAAUGUGAUUUAGGUGAUCUCUUGUUAGCAAAUUUAUAUUUAUAUUUGGUGAAACAAUUUUGAGAAUUUCAUUUUGGUUCGGAUUUAUGAGUUAGUUGAUUUGUGAAUUCUGAUGAGUAGGUUUCGACAGUAAAGGUUGGUGGAUCAAUACUGUUGAUUGUAAAUUUUUGCUAUUGAAAGUGGGAUAUCGUUUCAUUUGGUUGUUAAACCUUUUGUGUGCAGAAUAAAAUUUGGUUUGUACAAAAUUGGUAUGUAUGUUGGCAUUUAAUUACCUAAGGUAACUUCGGGAUGUAUGCUUGCUUAUGGUAUGAGUGGAAGAAUUUUUCUAAAUGAGUUGGUUUGUAUGUAGUUUGAAGAUUUUGUUAUCAUUAGUUAAAGUGAUAUACUCCUUGGAAUGUCAUUAUGUAGUACGUGUUUAUGGAUUCGUUAAGGUUAAUGGUUUUGUCGAGUUUAGUCCUUGUCGUGUGUACAGCUUGAUUCUCAUGAUGUUUUAAAGUUUGCUGGUAUAUUUGUUUGAUAUAACGAGUUUAAUUAUAUGCUUUGAUAUGGGAUAAUAGGUGUAGGCAUGUUAAGUAGGCGGCGAGAGUUGUUUGAUGUUAUUAAUGAGGAUUUCAAGAUUUCCAUUUUGAAGUGUUAGAUUUUAGUAUUGUAAGGAUUACAAUUUGAGUUUCGAGCUUGUCCUUGCACAUUGUUAAGGUUGUUAUGAUAGCUGUUAAAACUCAAGCGAGUUUUGGUAACCUCCCUUGUGAGCAUGUUUAAUGUUUAUAGUUAAAUAAUCUUGGAGGUUUAUAUUUUGUUUAAUCAAGUAAUAGUUUGGAGCACCGAACUGCCAAAUUUAUAAUUUUGCGCACAUGUGCGUUGUGUCGAUUUGAGUUUGUUGAUUUAUGUAAGUGGUGUUUUGAGUUAUCUUUUGAGGUACAAUUUGUUAAGUUGUGUUUAUGCAAGUGCAUAAGUUGAUGAGUAAAGGUAUUGCUAUGGUCCAGUUGGGUUGAUCACUCAUUUGAGAAAUCUACUUGGGAGACAUAACUCGUUUUGUUGAAUUGUUAUAUUUUACCUUCAUUGGUUACUUGGGGUAUCUUGUUUAUGCAUUUUCACGUUGGUGAUGUGCGUUUUUUUUUUACUGUUCGGCUUUUAUGUAAUAUUAUGUUAUGUUUUACGUGGGUUGUUUUAUGUUUUAAAUUCGAGGACGAAUUUUAUAUAAGUUGGAGAGAAUGUAAUACCCCGUGUUUUUCCGGCUUGUUCAGAUGAUUUUUUCGAUGUUUUUCGGGUUGGUCCUUGGUGGUUUGGUUCCUUGAAACCAUGAUUUGGUUUUCAUAACCUUCGGUGUGUUGUUUUGAUUAGGUUCUGAGCCUUAUCGAAUAAGUGUUUAUGUGUUUUCCUGAUAUGACAUGCUUUAAUAAAAUGUCCAUAUCUCCCAAUUGCACCGUCGGAUCGGGCCGCCGUUCGGAUAUGUUGUUCCUGAGAGGAUUUACUAAAAUCUGGUCGGUCGGAUCGUGUUUUUAUUGAGUUCGCGGGCGCGAACUAUAGUUAGCGGUCGCUAACUAAUGCUGUUGAAGUUAGCGGGUGCGAACUAUACUUAGCGGGCGCGAACUUGCACUGUUCAGUUCGCUGUUUUUCUAUUUAAAGACCCCUUAUUCGACCUAAACUCUUUUCCUUCGACUUUUAAAACCCUAAAACGGCUGGAGUCAUAUUCUAACUCAUUCCUAUCAACAUUCCUCUCAAUAUUUAAUCCUUGGUAAGUGUUUGUAAUCUUUCCUUUGUAGUUUUAUCUCUAGUUCUUCAAUUCUAGCAAUUCUAAAUCCUAUAUCCCUAUAUGUGUGUGGUUGUAGGCUGAUUUGGGUUGAUUGAUUUCUGGGUUUUAUUGUUCUUAGUCUAAUCAAGAGACCCGUCGACUGCUCGUGCUUCGGAGUCUACGCAGGGUUAGCUGUUUGCCAAGAUUUACGUGGAUAAGCAAGCAGUUUAUGAUUUGAAAGCUGGUCCACUCCGAUUCUUUUGAUUCCUCGGAGGUUUUCAUGCUAUUAAACUAGUUUCUGUUUUCGAACUCUUAGACCGCAGUAGAACUAGUUAUUUAUUUCAUUUGAUAUUUCACUUUGGUUUGUCGAUAUAUUCGAUUAUUUAUAUUUGGCAUGAUUACUCUGGAUUACGAUAUUAUUAUAUUUAAAGCAUGCUGUGGAAUAUUUCAGAUA